rnacentral:rRNA from 1 species
AUUGAACGCUGGCGGCAUGCCUUACACAUGCAAGUCGAACGGCAGCACGGGAGCAAUCCUGGUGGCGAGUGGCGAACGGGUGAGUAAUAUAUCGGAACGUGCCCAGUCGUGGGGGAUAACGCAGCGAAAGCUGUGCUAAUACCGCAUACGAUCUAAGGAUGAAAGCGGGGGAUCGCAAGACCUCGCGCGAUUGGAGCGGCCGAUAUCAGAUUAGCUAGUUGGUGGGGUAAAGGCCCACCAAGGCGACGAUCUGUAGCUGGUCUGAGAGGACGACCAGCCACACUGGAACUGAGACACGGUCCAGACUCCUACGGGAGGCAGCAGUGGGGAAUUUUGGACAAUGGGCGCAAGCCUGAUCCAGCAAUGCCGCGUGCAGGAUGAAGGCCUUCGGGUUGUAAACUGCUUUUGUACGGAACGAGACAGCCCUUUCUAAUACAGGGGGCUAAUGACGGUACCGUAAGAAUAAGCACCGGCUAACUACGUGCCAGCCGCCGCAGUAA